rnacentral:rRNA from 1 species
GACGAACGCUGGCGGCGUGCUUAACACAUGCAAGUCGAACGAAGUGGCGAACGGGUGAGUAACGCGUAAUCAACCUGCCCUUCAGAGGGGGACACCAGUUGGAAACGACUGCUAAUACCGCAUACUGAAGGAGGGGUUUGCGUUUGAUUAGCUAGUUUGAGGGGUAACGGCCCACCAGGGCGAUGAUCAGUAGCCGGUCUGAGAGGGUGAACGGCAACAUGGUGACUGAGAAACGGCACAGACUCCGACGGGAGGCAGCAGUGGGGAAUCUUCCGCAAUGGACGAAAGUCUGACGGAUCAACGCCGGGUGAGAGAUGACGGCCUUCGGGUUGUAAAGCUCUGUUAAUCGGGACGCGGUACCGGAAUAGAAAGCCACGGCUAACUACGUGCCAGCAGCCGCGGUAAUAC